rnacentral:rRNA from 1 species
CCCUUAGAGUUUGAUCCUGGCUCAGAUUGAACGCUGGCGGCAUGCCUUACACAUGCAAGUCGAGCGGCAGCGCGGGGGCAACCCUGGCGGCGAGCGGCGAACGGGUGAGUAAUGCAUCGGAACGUGUCCUCUUGUGGGGGAUAACCAGUCGAAAGACUGGCUAAUACCGCAUGAGAUCGAGAGAUGAAAGCAGGGGACCGCAAGGCCUUGCGCGAGAGGAGCGGCCGAUGCCGGAUUAGCUAGUUGGUGGGGUAAAAGCCUACCAAGGCGACGAUCCGUAGCUGGUCUGAGAGGACGACCAGCCACACUGGGACUGAGACACGGCCCAGACUCCUACGGGAGGCAGCAGUGGGGAAUUUUGGACAAUGGGGGCAACCCUGAUCCAGCCAUGCCGCGUGUGUGAAGAAGGCCUUCGGGUUGUAAAGCACUUUCGGCCGGAACGAAAUCGCGCGAUCUAAUAAGUCGCGUGGAUGACGGUACCGGAAGAAGAAGCACCGGCUAACUACGUGCCAGCAGCCGCGGUAAUACGUAGGGUGCGAGCGUUAAUCGGAAUUACUGGGCGUAAAGUGUGCGCAGGUGGCCGCGCAUGUCGAGUGUGAAAUCCCCGGGCUUAACUUGGGAAUUGCGCUCGAAACUACGUGGCUCGAGUGUGGCAGAGGAAGGUGGAAUUCCACGUGUAGCGGUGAAAUGCGCAGAGAUGUGGAGGAACACCGAUGGCGAAGCAGCCUUCUGGGCCAACACUGACGCUCAUGCACGAAAGCGUGGGGAGCAAACAGAUAGAUACCCUGGUAGUCCACGCCCUAACGAUGAUGACUAGUUGU